UACGGAGGGUGCGAGCGUUGUCCGGAAUCAUUGGGCGUAAAGGGCGCGUAGGUGGCUUCUUAAGCGUGCGGUGAAAGCCUGGGGCUCAACCCCGGGUCGGCCGUGCGAACUGGGGGGCUGGAGCACUGUAGAGGCAGGCGGAAUUCCGGGUGUAGCGGUGGAAUGCGUAGAGAUCCGGAAGAACACCGGUGGCGAAGGCGGCCUGCUGGGCAGUUGCUGACACUGAGGCACGAAAGCGUGGGGAGCAAACAGG
rnacentral:rRNA from 1 species